rnacentral:lncRNA from 1 species
CUUUUAGGCGAUUUGUAUUGAUUGAAUACACCGCAGAUAUGGUGUGCAUUUUAUAUGAAACAAGGCAUGAUUUCUUCUUUGAAGAAGCACUUCUUGAUCUCAUUAUUUCUUCAGCAGCAAAUCCAGGAACAUGAUAAGCAAAGUAAACAUGAUUAUGCUCAAGGAUGGAUAACUGAUUAAGAGGAAACUCCUAUCAGCUGAAGAUGUGGAGUAAUGUAAAGCAGGAGGAUGUAUGUUCCAGGAAACAAUUACCCUGGCUCUUUGCAGAGAAAAAAGAAGAAAGGGAGUAAAAUCUAAAGCAUUAAUUCCACACCCCUCCACAUCUCCCCCAUCCUUCUUUCACAGAUUCGUUUCCGCGGCAGAGCUGAGCUGAUUAAGGACCACUGGCCAGAGGGGAGCAGUGUCAGGGCCACCCAGCCUGGCACCAGGCAUCCUGCAGCUG